UGGGGAAUCUUGGACAAUGGGCGCAAGCCUGAUCCAGCCAUGCCGCGUGAGUGAUGAAGGCCCUAGGGUUGUAAAACUCUUUCGCAGGUGACGAUAAUGACGGUAACCUGAGAAGAAGCCCCGGAUAACUUCGUGCCAGCAGCCGCGGUAAUACGAAGGGGGCUAGCGUUGUUCGGAUUUACUGGGCGUAAAGCGCGUGUAGGCGGAUUGGUAAGUUGGGGGUGAAAUCCCGAGGCUCAACCUCGGAACUGCCUCCAAAACUGUCAGUCUGGACUCAAGUAGAGGCAAGUGGAAUUGCGAGUGUAGAGGUGAAAUUCGUAGAUAUUCGCAGGAACACCAGUGGCGAAGGCGACUUGCUGGACUUGUAGUGACGCUGAGACGCGAAAGCGUGGGGAGCAA
rnacentral:rRNA from 1 species